rnacentral:rRNA from 3 species
CAAAUGACUCUCGGCAAUGGAUAUCUCGGCUCUUGCAUCGAUGAAGAACGUAGUGAAAUGCGAUACUUGGUGUGAAUUGCAGAAUCUCGUGAACCAUUGAGUCUUUGAACGCAAGUUGUGCCCGAGGCCUUGUGGUCGAGGGCACGUCUGCUUGGGUGUCAUGAC